UACAGAGGUCUCGAGCGUUGUUCGGAUUCAUUGGGCGUAAAGGGCGCGUAGGCGGCGGGGUAAGUCUGGUGUGAAAUCUCGGAGCUCAACUCCGAAAUUGCACUGGAUACUGCUCUGCUAGAGGGCUGGAGAGGAGAUCGGAAUUCACGGUGUAGCAGUGAAAUGCGUAGAUAUCGUGAGGAAGACCAGUGGCGAAGGCGGCAUCCUGGACCGACACUGACGCUGAGGAGCGAAAGCCAGGGGAGCAAACGGG
rnacentral:rRNA from 1 species